ACGGCUGACAUGUAGUAAGUAGGAUUUGAACAGCAUUUUUCUGUGGCUUCUCUUACAGGUACACCAGGGGUUGGAAAAACCACACUAGGCAAAGAACUUGCAUCAAGAUCAGGCCUGAAGUACGUUAAUGUGGGAGAUCUAGCUCGGGAAGGUAAGCGUCUCUUUGAUGUUGUAUUUCUGUUUUUAAGUCAGGUAUAGUAGAGUGUUAGGACUGUGAAGUGUUGCUAGAGGGUCCUGGCAAUGAGUGAUUAUGUUCUGCUAGGGGCCUGAGAAAGAAAAUCACAUGUAUAAUAGAUAGUAGUAUGACAUAGUUAUUUUGGACAUUUUCCCUUCCCUACCCCAAAAUAACUAGCAUUAUUGAGAAUAGUAAAAAUUGUGACGGUUUUGUUGGGAGACUGGAUAGAUAAGCUCUGAAUAUGAGGAAGAGGGAAAAUGCUGUGGGCUCAGCAGACACAAAGGUUUGGGUGAUUUUAAAUGUAUGAGACAUUAUAUUGAUCUCUCCAGGAUAGACUACCGUGAACUCAAAUAGGAUAUGACUAUCAUAUUACUUUUUAAAAGUCACUUGGACAGUUGCAUGCCCAGACUCACUGCAUGUAGUCUAAAGUGUUAUUUUUUACUUAUUUACCCCUUUUUUCCCCUAAUCUUUUAUUAUUUAACUUAUUUGUGUCAUCCUUUUUAUAUCCACAUUUCAGAGAAGGAAUUUCAUAUUUAAGCAAAGGGAAGUUUAAAUAUGCUUAAUUAAAGAAAAAGAUGGAUGUUUUAUAUUUUAAAUAUAUUUUUAAAAGUUUUAACACAUUUGAGAAUUUUAAAUUCCUAACAGUUGCUACUAAAGUGACUAUUUCGGUUUGAUCUAAUUUCCAUAUUUUUUUUAAAUGACCUAAAGUCUGAUCACCGGAUAUCAUGGAGUCUGGCAAGAUGGCGUCUCCCAAGAGCAUGCCGAAAGACGCACAGAUGAUGGCACAAAUCCUGAAGGAUAUGGGGAUUACAGAGUAUGAGCCAAGAGUUAUAAAUCAGAUGCUGGAGUUUGCCUUCCGAUAUGUGACCACAAUUCUAGAUGAUGCUAAAAUUUAUUCAAGCCAUGCUAAGAAACCUACUGUUGAUGCAGAUGAUGUCCGAUUGGCAAUCCAGUGCCGUGCUGACCAGUCUUUCACUUCUCCUCCCCCGAGAGAUUUUUUAUUAGAUAUUGCAAGGCAAAGAAAUCAAACCCCUUUGCCAUUGAUCAAGCCAUAUUCAGGUCCUAGAUUGCCACCUGAUAGAUACUGCUUAACUGCUCCAAACUAUAGGCUUAAGUCUUUACAAAAAAAGGCACCUACUCCUGCAGGAAGAAUAACGGUUCCAAGGUUAAGUGUUGGUUCAGUUUCUAGUAGACCUAGUACUCCCACACUAGGCACACCAAC
rnacentral:lncRNA from 1 species